GGACUACUGGGGUAUCUAAUCCUGUUUGCUCCCCACGCUUUCGUGCAUGAGCGUCAGUCUUGACCCAGGGGGCUGCCUUCGCCAUCGGUAUUCCUCCACAUAUCUACGCAUUUCACUGCUACACGUGGAAUUCUACCCCCCUCUGCCAAACUCUAGCCGUGCAGUCACAAAUGCAGUUCCCAGGUUAAGCCCGGGCAUUUCACAUCUGUCUUACACAACCGCCUGCGCACGCUUUACGCCCAGUAAUUCCGAUUAACGCUCGCACCCUACGUAUUACCGCGGCUGCUGGCAC
rnacentral:rRNA from 1 species